GCCUCUUUGGCGCAGUGGUAACGCGUAGCACUUGUAUCUACACUUCUUCCCCUUGUACAAGGUGCGGCAGUAUGAGCAAUGCUAAGAUCGCUCGUUCGAUUCGGGCAGGAGGCA